GUUCCAAAACAGUCACUGAGUGGGCGGAGCUCGUGUCGAAAUGUGUUCUCGUUGUAUAAAUAGCUGUUACACCUGUAUAAAUAUAUAACAGUAUGUAGUUAUAUUAUAAAAUCAUGUAGGAAUUUUUCACAUGCAGGUGUUUUUUCAGAGAUAAUAUUUUUCUUGAAGAAUUCGUUUCGUAUCAGAGGAACAGAUCAGGAAGGACUAUUAAAAUAUCCUCAGGUCCCUGGGUUGCGUGUCUAAAUCUCAGUUCAGGGACGUGCUUGGAAAGAUUAAUGUCGAAAUCGAAAGACGCCAGAGUCAUAAAUCGAAUCCGCAGAGAGAGCUGCUACCAUUAGGGAGAUAUAUGCACCUCUACAUCAACAUGUUUAUCAUCUGCAGGUGCCUCUGAGUGAGUGGAAGUGGAGCAUCAUGUAACUGAAGGUCUGCUUCACAGAGGCCUGCACAUGCACGGAGCUCUGCCCAUCUACUCAGGCACACGCUGGAACCUGAUCAUAUGGAUGCGAGCUUCACGUGAGAUGAACAAACUCUGCCCUAUGUGUGGGUUAAUAUCAUUGUCGUCAUAGUCCGACUCCAUCUCAAUCUUCACCUGGGGCACGGGGCAGGACAUCCCUCUGGUCAUUGGCAUCGCCGGAGAUGAUGGACAGGAGAUCUUCAGGCAGGAUGUCAUCCACCCAUGCCAGAUCGUGUUGAGAGAAGACCAUGUCCAACAUCUUUCGUACCACCAUAAGACCAAGAAUCUAAGGAAUCGAAGGGGGAAAAAAAAGUACUGAAGUACAUUCUGAGUACCAUCG